CAGCAGCCACGGGAAUACGUAGGUGGCAAGCGUUGUCCGGAAUUAUUGGGCGUAAAGCGCGCGCAGGCGGAUAGGUCAGUCUGUCUUAAAAGUUCGGGGCUUAACCCCGUGAUGGGAUGGAAACUGCCAAUCUAGAGUAUCGGAGAGGAAAGUGGAAUUCCUAGUGUAGCGGUGAAAUGCGUAGAUAUUAGGAAGAACACCAGUGGCGAGGGCGACUUUCUGGACGAAAACUGACGCUGAGGCGCGAAAGCCAGGGGAGCGAACGGGAUUAGAUACCCCAGUAGUCCCUGUCUCUUAUACC
rnacentral:rRNA from 1 species